GUGGUUCCGUUCUGGAUGGAGGAGUGAAGGUUUGCACCUUCAGCCAGUAAUUGCAGCCAGCUUUCCAGCCCUCACCCUCGGGGAGCAGCCGAGGCACGGGGAGUUUUCAGCAUGGUUUGCGAAGAGUUUAUCUCGAAGCUUGUGCAAUGACUGGACUGGCUCCAUGCAGAAAUGGAUUUGGAACAGAGCAAAAAACCAGCAAGCCAGGAAAACAAACCUGGAGCUCGAGCGGAGCCCUGAUUGAUGACCUCGACUCCCAGGGCCUCUGGAGCCCGUCGGCACCGAGCUGGGAUUUCACCACGACAAGUUUCAUUAUGAGAUUCCCUGUACCGCCGGGGGAGGCAGGAGCCUCGUCGCACCAGCCUCUCCCACUGCAUUGCUGCGUCCUUUCCUCAGCCUUGGUGGUACUCUGCUUGAAAGAAAAAGGGAGAGCAGACGCUUGAGCUGGACAGGAGCGGGGUUUUCAGUUUCACUGGAAAGGCUGCACAUUCAGCCUUUUUUUUUCCACUCCAAAAUAAUACACGAACAAAAAUAAGAAGUUUCUCGUAAAACAGAACUGUUUGGGGGAGGAAAAAAAACACACCUCAAUUGGACUUGAAGGAAACAUUUUUUCAAUACAAUCACAAUACUUCAGUGCUAUUUUUACCCUCAGUAAAGCCUUCAGUGGGAAACGCAGAUGCUGCAGGAUGCUUCUGGGGAUGAGAUUCCACCUGGGGUGCUGCGCGCUGGAGGCUGCUAUGGCACCAGGCACGUAUCUGUGCUUGUUCCCUCAGUGCUGCUGCCUGGUUUCAAGGCAAAAGAAUAGGGCUGAAGCAAGGGGACGGGGGCUGUGGGGUGACCCCUGAUGCCUGUGCUGGCUUUGCUGCCAAAGCACCCUCAGCUCAGCCCCCUGAAGUGGGGAACACCGGAGUCUGAAGGCAGAGCUCUUGCCUGGGCUGCUUUAGGGUGGGAGAUGCUGAGACCCCAGUUUUGGGUCUGGUGAUGUGCUCACCUCCCCCUGUGCUCCCCAGCAGCUGCCCAGAUGUCUGCUCCGUCCCUUUGCACAACGAGCUCUUUGCACAACUGGGCCUCAAAUAUUUGGGUGAUGAGUGGCCAGAAGAAGGGCUGGGUGAUGAGUCCAUGCUCUGGACGAUUCCCAGCUCUACCAAGCUUGGGGGUGAUCCAGGGUUAAUUACAGCCCUGCUCUUCCCGAGGGGGGAAGGAAAACUUUUAUAGGGGAUGGGGGUGUGAGGAUACAGCCCCGGAGGACCAGUCCUGGAAUGUUUUUGGAAAUCUGAUGCUGCCUCCGAUGUUUCCCUGCUCAGCAGUUGACCAAGGGGAGCUGCAGUGCUGCGAGGAAGAGUUAACUCUUGCCUGGGAGUGCUGCAGCUGCCACAGGAGAGUGGCAAGGUUGGGUUAUUGGGUUAGUCCCUGCCUGGGCCAGCUGGGUGCUCGCCCACAGCUGGCAUGUGGAAGGAAGAAUAUGGCUUGGGGAAAGGGGAUAAAUCCUCCGGGUGCUUCCUGGAGAAGACAGAGACCCAGUCACAGUGGGAUCUUCAUUCCUUGAAAGAGGCUGAGAGGAGAAAAUGGGGCGAUUGUUUGCGAAGGGAAAAGCACAAAGCAGAUAAGAAAUGGGUU